rnacentral:rRNA from 1 species
GAGUUUGAUCCUGGCUCAGGAUGAACGCUGGCGGCGUGCUUAACACAUGCAAGUCGAACGGAAAGGCCCUUGCUUGCAGGGGUACUCGAGUGGCGAACGGGUGAGUAACACGUGGGUGAUCUGCCCUGCACUUCGGGAUAAGCCUGGGAAACUGGGUCUAAUACCGGAUAGGACGAUGGUUUGGAUGCCAUUGUGGAAAGUUUUUCGGUGUGGGAUGAGCUCGCGGCCUAUCAGCUUGUUGGUGGGGUAAUGGCCUACCAAGGCGUCGACGGGUAGCCGGCCUGAGAGGGUGUACGGCCACAUUGGGACUGAGAUACGGCCCAGACUCCUACGGGAGGCAGCAGUGGGGAAUAUUGCACAAUGGGCGCAAGCCUGAUGCAGCGACGCCGCGUGGGGGAUGACGGCCUUCGGGUUGUAAACUCCUUUCGUCAGGGACGAAGCGAAAGUGACGGUACCUGGAUAAGAAGCACCGGCUAACUACGUGCCAGCAGCCGCGGUAAUACGUAGGGUGCGAGCGUUGUCCGGAAUUACUGGGCGUAAAGAGCUCGUAGGUGGUUUGUCGCGUCGUUUGUGGAAUACCGCAGCUUAACUGCGGGGUUGCAGGCGAUACGGGCAUAACUUGAGUGCUGUAGGGGAGACUGGAAUUCCUGGUGUAGCGGUGGAAUGCGCAGAUAUCAGGAGGAACACCGAUGGCGAAGGCAGGUCUCUGGGCAGUAACUGACGCUGAGGAGCGAAAGCAUGGGUAGCGAACAGGAUUAGAUACCCUGGUAGUCAAGGGCGAAUUCGUUUAA